rnacentral:rRNA from 1 species
GACGAACGCUGGCGGCGUGCUUAACACAUGCAAGUCGAACGGAAAGGCCCUGCUUUUGUGGGGUGCUCGAGUGGCGAACGGGUGAGUAACACGUGAGUAACCUGCCCUUUACUUUGGGAUAACUUCAGGAAACUGGGGCUAAUACCGGAUAGGAGCUCCUGCUGCAUGGUGGGGGUUGGAAAGUUUCGGCGGUUGGGGAUGGACUCGCGGCUUAUCAGCUUGUUGGUGGGGUAGUGGCUUACCAAGGCUUUGACGGGUAGCCGGCCUGGGAGGGUGACCGGCGACAUUGGGACUGAGAUACGGCCCAGACGCCUACGGGAGGCAGCAGGGGGGAAUAUUGCACAAUGGGCGGAAGCCUGAUGCAGCAACGCCGCGUGCGGGAUGACGGCCUUCGGGUUGUAAACCGCUUUCGCCUGUGACGAAGCGUGAGUGACGGUAAUGGGUAAAGAAGCACCGGCUAACUACGUG